rnacentral:tRNA from 1 species
GGAUUGUAGCUUAGUGGUUGAGCGCUUGCCUUGCGUGUAUGAGGCACUGGGUUCAAUACUCAGCACCA